rnacentral:rRNA from 1 species
UACGGGGGAGCAAGCGUUGUUCGGAUUUACUGGGCGUAAAGGGCGCGUAGGCGGCCACUGCAAGUCAGUUGUGAAAUCUCCGGGCUUAACCCGGAAAGGUCAACUGAUACUGCAGGGCUAGAGUGCAGAAGGGGCAACUGGGAAUUCUCGGUGUAGCGGUGAAAUGCGUAGAUAUCUGGAGGAACACCGGUGGCGGAAGGCGGCG